AUAUUUUUUUUUUUGAUUUCUAUUUCAUAUUGACAAAUAUUAUUUUUAAGAAUUUUAACUAUUUUAAGAUUUAUUUUGUUUCUUCAUGGUAGUUUAAUUUUUAUGUUGAUUUACAUAAUAUCAUUCUAAAUAUCAAUUUAGUACCUUUUAAAUAGUUUAAAAUUUUGAUUAUUUAGAUAUUUAUAUCCAUUUUUAAAAUGAUAGGGAAUUUUUAUUAUUUCUAAAACUUAACUUAUAAUAUUGGUGAUGUUAAAUUUGUAAAGAGGUAGCAUAGAUAUCAAUCUAACUUUUAGGUCACUUUUAUCAUGUUAGUAAUUUAUACUACUAAUUUAUAUUUUGACAAAUAUGAAUUCUUAGAAGAUUUAUGUCUUUCUAAGACAUCAUCUUCUCUUUUAAUUGAUUUUUUAAAAAAAAUUCUUAAAUCUUUUAUAUUUAAUGGCAGUUUAUUAUAUCUUAAUAAUUAAUUAAAAUAAUAUACAUUAAUUUUUCAAAUAAUUAGCCUUGAUAUUAAUUUGAUUUCUUGUAGGAACUUUUUGUUAGUUAUUGUAUACGGAUUUUAACAUACCUUUUUUAAGAAAUUGAUUUUAAAUUUAUUGUGACAUAAUAAAUUUUUGAAAGUUUUACAUUUAAGACAUAUUUUUAUGUUAGUUAAACUUUUAUGUUUAGUUUCCAAAAAUUAGUAUAAAUAUCAAAAUUUAAAUGUUUUUAGUUUAUUUUUAUGUUGAUUUUCAUUUUGUUUUGAAAGAUAUGGAAGAUCUAAUGUUUUAAAAUGCAAUUACAAUGCUGACUAAACAUAUCUAAUUGGUUAUUUAUAAUUCUAUGUGGAUAACUUUGAAUGCUAAUUGCUUUUAAUUUUUAUUAGUAUAGAAUCAGGUCACUGAGUUUUAAGAUUUUUUUUUCGGGGAUAAUUUAUUUGGAUUAUGUGUGUGAGAUGUUUCAUAGUCUUGAAAGAUAUUUUUUGCAUAAAUAUGUAAAGAUUUGAGAGAGGGAUAGCCAUAAAACCAAAAGAGAAAAUAUUUCUCUAAUGGAAGAACAUGUAAUGAGCUAGUACAUUUAUUUGAUUAACAAAUGAAUUAAAAAAAUAAAAAAUAUUAAGCGACCAUGCGAGCAAUAUAUCAAUAUCAAGCUAGGCAUGAGCAUUUUCUUUAAAAGUUGUGAGAUUUCAAAAAAAAAAAACUAUGUUUAUCCUGAGGAUAAGUGAAGAAAGACGUAUUGUUGACUCUGAUAUGACUGGUAUUGAGGUGUUUACUCCCAACUCAGAGAAAGUGAAUAGCAACCGACAUGUUUUGAUCAUAA